CUUGCAGGGCUGCCAGAAGACCUGCUGUUUUUCUUUGACCACUUCGGAAAAGUCGGUGGGGUUGUCGACGUGGAGCAGAGCCUCCUCCUCUACUGCUACCACCAGCACACGACCACACACUCUGUCUUGGAGGCCACCAUCUGGCCUUGCUGCUCCCACUUUCUCGUCCUCACGCACUGGGUGAUCUUCACCAUCGGGAACUGGGGGCAAGCAGGGGUGCAGGCUGGAUUGCAGCGUAAGGUUGGUCUGUUUUGUGACAUUGAUGAGAACAAGCUCACGGGCCUCUACUGCUAGGGGAAUCUCAGGAAAAGCCCAGGGUUCCAAUCUACCCACUGCCCUUCAUCAUCUGUGUGAAGCUGGGCUUCACAUAUGCAGGGGGCCAGAAGGUCGACCAGAAGGGUGAGUUUGAGGAUAACCCGAGGCCUCCUGAACCUGCAGGAGGACUGGGACUUCCUUCCCUUC
rnacentral:lncRNA from 1 species